GGAGGUGAGGGCGAUCUGGCUGCGACGUCUGUCACCCCACUGAUCACCACGGUUGAUUCUGCUGAUCUGGCUGGCUGGGCGGGUGUCCCCGUCCUCCCUCACCGCCCUAUGUGGGUCCCUCCCGAAACCGUGAGCUCGGUGGAAGAGGACGAGCUUCCCCGAUAGAGGAGGACCGUGCUUCGGUCAAGCGUGUACGCGUAGCUGCGCUCCCUGGCUAGAUCCUCCAAACAAGCUCUCGAGAGUCCAUGACUCCAAGAGCCCCUUCUUCUUAAAUUCCGCGAUUCCAAAAA
rnacentral:snRNA from 1 species